UACGAAGGGGGCUAGCGUUGCUCGGAAUCACUGGGCGUAAAGCGCACGUAGGCGGCUUUCUAAGUCAGGGGUGAAAUCCUGGAGCUCAACUCCAGAACUGCCUUUGAUACUGGAGAGCUUGAGUCCGGAAGAGGUGAGUGGAACUCCGAGUGUAGAGGUGAAAUUCGUAGAUAUUCGGAAGAACACCAGUGGCGAAGGCGGCUCACUGGUCCGGUACUGACGUUGAGGUGCGAAAGCGUGGGGAGCAAACAGG
rnacentral:rRNA from 1 species